GUCCCUAUAGCUCAAAGGAUAGAGCGCAGCCCUGCGGAGGCUGAAAUCGAGGUUCGACUCCUCGUAGGGACGCCA
rnacentral:tRNA from 4 species